UGAUUUUUUCCAAUCUGUGGAAAGAAUUGUGACUAGGAAACCACUGUGGUACAGGAACUAUGAAUGAAUUCUGCAUUCUUCUUCAUAUGUCUUUAUCAAACGAUAGAUACAGCCUGUCCACUCCAUUCUUUCUCUUUUUCCUAUUCUGUGAUAGCAGAUAAAGACACCAGUUAAAGCCAGUUGUGAAUAUUAGGGCUGUUUUCAGCUCAACUUCUUAGCAAAGCAAGGCUUACAUGCUUACUCUGCAUGCAAUCUUAAUGUCUUAUGAACACUGCUAGCCAAACUCUCCAAACAUACCAGAAGAGCUGAGUUACCAAUAUACUUUGUUCCUACAUUUUCUCCCUCAUUUCAGUCAAAAGGAGCAGCCCAAAAAGUCAUCAGCAGCAUUUUUUUGCUGUAAGUGGGAAAGGUAGAAAAACAGCAGGAGAGCUUUACAUUUGCAUAAGGAGACAAUAUAAAACCUCAGUUUAAAUUGCUUAGUAUCCAUUCACUGAGAGACGCACAUCCACAAGAAAGGAGUUGUGCAGCAACCGACGUUUUCUUAUGUGAAUACUUGUCAACUAGCAGACAAAUCAAAUAAGUCAGUUGGUUCUUUCCAGGCUUACACUUGUAACAUUGAACUUAAAUGCUCCCUAUUUCUGAAUUCUGGUCCUGAGUCUAGGUAAUGAUUUCUUUCUCAGUAGUGACUUGCUGUACUGGUUGAAACAUAAACUACUUAAAUGACUGUACUCCAUGCUUAUUUAUUGUCUCUUGCAGAAUAAUUUUUUCCAAACCUUUCUUGAACUAUAAUGUUCAUCUGGGGAGCUCUGAAUGUAGUCCAUCCUGGAGAUGUCUGCUCCAGAUAUUACCAAAAAAUUGAAUUUUGCAUAAUUCUUUCCAUACGUGCAUGUUGAUUUCUCAGUUAAAUGAUUUAUGGACUCUUUCAGGAUCAAUUUCUGCCUUUGAGAAGAUACAGAAAAAAUAGCAGCUCUAAUGCAAGAGGAGGAUGUGAGGAAAAUCAAAAAGCUUUGUGUUACCAGAGCACUAAAAAAUAUCUCAAAAUGUUUUUCUUAAGAAAGCAGUUUCUGAUGUUUUCAACUCAACUUUCUUCUACCUUGUUUAUACAGGUGAUCAUCAGUUUUCUUCAAUUUCUGGUGUGUCAGUCUCAGAGGAUAUUUACUGAUCACAUAAUAUUGAAUUAGAAUCAUGAAAGUGUUAAUGUGCAAUAUAUGCAACAGAAUGGUGGCUAAAAAUCAACACUGGUGUUCAAGCCUUCAGAAAAAAUAAUGAAAAUAUUCUACUCCUGAGAUUUAAUGCAAAGUGAAUGAAAAGAAACAGUGACAAUACUUUUCCAUGCUCUUAGAAUUAAGAGGAUUCUUACAUUAAUCAAAACCUUUCGCACAUUCUUUUUUCCCAUGCUGAAAAUGGAUCAAAGUUUGAAAAUACAACUCAGAGAUUAUUAUGUUUGCAUGAGUAUUUUACAGUCUAUAAACAAGACCUUUAUUAAGCAAGCAACUUCUGUAUGGAAAAAGUUCAAUUUCCCAUAAAGAAUUCACAGGAAGAGUUGUAUGUUCAAAAUGUACUUUCUAUUUAUUUCAACCCAGAAACUCAUCUGACCAAUUUCCUUUUCAGGAAGGAGGAUAAGUGAAAGCAUAUGCUUGGUCAUUCUAUAUUUUUUUAACUUCUUGAAUUUCAGCAAUAAGGAGAUUUACUUGACUCAGCCUGAACUAGAGAUGGAUAAAGAUUUUUGAUACAGCUGUGAAACUUUCUGCUUCUUUCAGAGCUGAAGAAACACAGCAAUAGAGCCAUCUGCCACAUCUGCUUCUGUUAUGAAGAAUCAAGUAUACUAAGGAAGAUGAUCCAUGGUCAUGGUACAUGUUAAUAUCACCUUCUGACAAAGCAGGAUUUUCUUAUGUUCAGUUACAUACACUGACCUGGUAUUGAGUGGAAGGAUCAGUGCCCUUUCACAACCUUUUGAACUUGUUCAAUAGCCUUUGCUUCUGUUUGGAGAACCUGUUUCUCGUUAAAAAGCUUGAGCAACCAAAUCCAUCCUCCUUGAGCAUUGCAGCUCACACUCCAUAGAAUCACAGAACUCUUGUGGGCUUUCCAAAGUCUGCCUUCUUAAGCUGAUGGUGGUCUCCCACUAUUUCCUUGAAAAUCCACACAACUGUGAUGAGCCAGAUACCUUAGACUUACAAGGACAGCUUUCAUUAACAGCCUUGAAAUGUGAACGCUCAUUGCUGCUUUGAAAUCAAGGCCAAAAAAGCAUUUUAUUUUUACUUGGCAGUAUUAGAGAGCUCUCCACUAAGCCUGCCCAAAACUUUUGUGUUAUUUGAGAUGAAGUGAGAAGAGAAAGCUCCUUCUCUAGAAAUUUUGUACUAGUAAGUCUUUUGUUCAGCUGAACCCAAAGGCAGAAUUUGGAUCAGACGUUGUAAAAUCUCCAUUAUUUCCUAUAGAUUUUCCUAUCACUGUUCAACCCAGCUGAGCAGAUGGUAAUAUUCAUGUAUUGUUCUUCUUUGAACUAUGAAUACAACUGUCAUUUGUCUUCUGUCAGUCUUAUCUUCCUGUUUUUGGUGUUGUUUUUUUUGUUCAUUUGUUUUUUUGUUUGUUUGUUUGUUUUCCUAAAAUAUUUGGUGAUAUGAUCAAAAGGAUGCUGAGGAACUGUUGUGUGUUACUACCCUGGGUAAACUGGCGUCCAAAUCCUGCAGGUUUGAGCUCUUUCUGAGAGAUCAGCUAUUUCAUUUAGCUGCUGUGUGCUGAUUGCUGGAAAAUAGCUGGGAUGGUCUGAAUGACAGUCUUCAUUUCUGGUUCGAUACUGUGCAUCCUCCUCUUGCACGAAGGGUAGAUGUAAUAAUUUUAAGUGGCAUCAUUGAAGCUGGGCAGACAAAUGACAGCUGACAAAAUUGAGUGGAAGUGUCUCAGAAGGCCUAUAAGCACCAGGAAGGCAACGCAGCCUUCACUGCCCAUGAGAGCUGACAAGUGCUGAUGACUUGGAGGCUGUGACCAUACAAUCCUGACAUUAAUCUGGGGCUGGGCAUGAGAGCUGUUCCUGCUUCCUCAUGUCCUCCAUUAUCCAAUGGGUGUCACUGCAGACCUGGACUGCUGUGGGUGCCUUCUUCUGGGCUGGACUCAAAGUAAGCACAAACCAAAGUAUAGAAAUAAUCAAAACAAGUUGCUAUUGAAUAGGAUUUGCAAGUGAGGAUUCUUGCAAGCAGAAGGCUGAGGCUGAAAAGUGAAAGCUUCAAAGGCUUUUUGACUUUUUAGGAGAAAAACUGCCUCUACUUUUCUCCUGAUACACACUGGUACGCUCUCUGCUCCUCCACACCUGCAGAAAUGGAUGGAUGCUCCAAGUCUGCUCCUUUUCUGUUGGAAGAGCUGUGCUAGACAGCUCAGCAGUCUGCAGGUGCCAGCCAGAGUGUAUCUUGCCAAGAAAAGGAGACUACUUCAUGCCUCUGAAGGAAGGUUUAGGGGCUGGUUUCGCACUGGAGAACUUAUUUACAACAUAAAGACCUUCCUGUUUAAGACAGACAAAUCAGAAGCCAUGCAUCAAAUACUAUUUCAGGGGAUCUCAGCAAGUCCUCUCAGAUGAAUACAAAAUUCACCUAAAAAUGGAUUUCCAAAAGAACUGACAAGCUGGCUGUUGUGUCACAUGGACUUUUAGCAGGUGGAUAAGGGGUGAGAAGGGACAACCAGAAAAGACACAGCCAAUUCUUAUGUCAGUGUUCUCAAACUGCAACCAUUCUGUUUUGUUUCUUUGCCUUCUAAAUGGCAUUUUUACCUCAUUAAAAUUAAAGUAGAUUUUAAUAUUAAAACAGCUGUUAAAUAAUGUGAAAACAGAAUAAGUUCACCCAGAUUAAAAAUGUAUAUACAUAUCCUUUUUUUUCUUUGCUCCAUUUCUCCAGAUUCUACCAGGUCAACUCAAACAAAAUGCUUCCCCUACCUCAUCUGUCCAUUACCAGACCAUGAUUUAUUUAGCUUGAAGCCUGUGCUUAAAGGUGCAUCCAGAGCUUUUUCCAACUGCUGGUAUCACAGUGCUGACACUGUGCUGUGACUCUCCUCUG